GGCGUAAGGUGCGUAGGCUGGAAAUCAAGUCGAGAGUGAAAUCCAACGGCUCAACCGUUGAACUGCUCUCGAAACUGGUUACCUAGAAUAUGGGAGAGGUAGAUGGAAUUGGUGGUGUAGGGGUAAAAUCCGUAGAUAUCACCAGGAAUACCGAUUGCGAAGGCGAUCUACUGGAACAUUAUUGACGCUGAGGCAUGAAAGCGUGGGGAGCAAACAGGAUUAGAUACCCUGGUAGUCCACGCCCUAAACGAUGCACACUAGUUGUUGCGAUGCUAGUCAUUGCAGUAAUGCACUUAACAGAUUAAGUGUGCCGCCUGGGGAGUACGGUCGCAAGAUUAAAACUCAAAGGAAUAGACGGGGACCCGCACAAGCGGUGGAGCAUGUGGUUUAAUUCGAAGAUACACGAAGAACCUUACCUGGGCUUGAUAUCCUAAGAAUCCUGUAGAGAUAUGGGAGUGCUAGUUUACUAGAACUUAGAGACGGGUGCUGCACGGCUGUCGUCAGCUCGUGUCGUGAGAUGUUGGGUUAAGUCCCGCAACGAGCGCAACCCUCGUGAUUAGUUGCUAACAGUUCGGCUGAGCACUCUAAUCAGACUGCCUUCGCAAGGAGGAGGAAGGUGAGGACGACGUCAAGUCAUCAUGGCCCUUAUGCCCAGGGCUACACACGUGCUACAAUGGCUAGGACAAAGAGAAGCGAUACUGCGAAGUGGAGCAAAUCUUAAAACCUAGUCUCAGUUCGGAUUGGAGUCUGCAACUCGACUCCAUGAAGCUGGAAUCGCUAGUAAUCGUAGAUCAGAUAUGCUACGGUGAAUACGUUCCCGGGUCUUGUACUCACCGCCCGUCACACCAUGGGAGUUGAAUUCACCCGAAGCCGGAAUAC
rnacentral:rRNA from 1 species